rnacentral:rRNA from 1 species
UAGGGAAUAUUGCAAAAUGGGCGAAAGCCCGAUGCAGCAACGCCGCGUGGGCGAUGAAGGCCUUCGGGUCGUAAAGCCCUUUUUGAGGGGAUGAGGAAGGACAGUACCCUCAGAAUAAGCCUCGGCUAGCUACGUGCCAGCAGCCGCGGUAAAACGUAGGAGGCGAGCGUUAUCCGGAUUUACUGGGCGUAAAGCGCGUGCAGGCGGAUUGGAGAGUUGGAUGUGAAAGCUCCCGGCUUAACUGGGAGAGGUCGUUCAAUACUUCCAGUCUUGAGUGCAGUAGAGGGAAGUGGAAUUCCGGGUGUAGUGGUGAAAUGCGUAGAUAUCCGGAGGAACACCAGUGGCGAAAGCGGCUUCCUGGACUGUAACUGACGCUCAGACGCGAAAGCUAGGGUAGCAAAC